rnacentral:rRNA from 1 species
AGUAUGACUCUUGACAACGGAUAUCUUGGCUCUUGCAUCGAU